GUGCCAGCAGCCGCGGUAAUACGAAGGGGGCUAGCGUUGUUCGGAAUCACUGGGCGUAAAGCGCACGUAGGCGGAUCAUUUAGUCAGGGGUGAAAUCCCGGAGCUCAACUUCGGAACUGCCCUUGAUACUGAUGGUCUCGAGUCCGGAAGAGGUGGGUGGAAUUCCUAGUGUAGAGGUGAAAUUCGUAGAUAUUAGGAAGAACACCAGUGGCGAAGGCGGCCCACUGGUCCGGUACUGACGCUGAGGUGCGAAAGCGUGGGGAGCAAACAGGAUUAGAAACCCCCGUAGUCC
rnacentral:rRNA from 1 species